UUCUUAGUUCGUGGAGUGAUCUGUCUGCUUAAUUGCGUUUCAAAUAUAUUUUAUUAUAUAACGAGUCUACAAAGGAGUGGUUCAUUAACAGACAAUCAUAUCUUUGAGCGUCUGGAAUCUACUCUAUUUGGCUCAAUUGAACGCAACGGACGUGAUCGCGAGUCCUUGUUGAACUUCAGUAUAUAUUGACUAUCCCCGUAGGAAGGGAUUGGCAAUAAUUGAAUGUUCGCUUUCUAUUAGGUGUGUAUAUAUAGUCUCAAAAUUGCAUGUAUUUGUAAUGGCGAGUAAUAUGUACUAUCCUAUAGGAAAACUCGGGCGACCGCUGUAAUAUUUCUCUUUAAAACAGAGGAAGAUUGCGGCAAUAACAGGUCUGUGAUGCCCUCAGAUGUCCCGGGCCGCACACGUGCUACAUUGAUUAGCGCAGUGCGCAUACUUUCAAUAUGAUACAUUAGAUUGGAUUGUUCUGUUGAGCUCCAUCUAAUACUAUCCGGCUUGAGAAGGCUGGGUAAUCAAUUGUAAGUGCUGGUUCCUCCUCCCGUUGAGCAUUUUAAUAAUGGCCUCUCUACAUCCCUAGCAAUAUGCCUAGUGCGAUUGUAGUUGAGCCUUGCCAUUUAUGCAAGUGUCAAUUCUCA
rnacentral:rRNA from 1 species